AGUGAACGCUGGCGGUAGGCCUAACACAUGCAAGUCGAACGGCAGCACAGUAAGAGCUUGCUCUUACGGGUGGCGAGUGGCGGACGGGUGAGGAAUACAUCGGAAUCUACUUUUUCGUGGGGGAUAACGUAGGGAAACUUACGCUAAUACCGCAUACGACCUACGGGUGAAAGCAGGGGAUCUUCGGACCUUGCGCGAUUGAAUGAGCCGAUGUCGGAUUAGCUAGUUGGCGGGGUGAAGGCCCACCAAGGCGACGAUCCGUAGCUGGUCUGAGAGGAUGAUCAGCCACACUGGAACUGAGACACGGUCCAGACUCCUACGGGAGGCAGCAGUGGGGAAUAUUGGACAAUGGGCGCAAGCCUGAUCCAGCCAUACCGCGUGGGUGAAGAAGGCCUUCGGGUUGUAAAGCCCUUUUGUUGGGAAAGAAAAGCAGCAGGUUAAUACCCCGAUGUUCUGACGGUACCCAAAGAAUAAGCACCGGCUAACUUCGUG
rnacentral:rRNA from 1 species